rnacentral:rRNA from 1 species
AUUCUGGCUCAGGAUGAACGCUGGCGGCGUGCUUAACACAUGCAAGUCGAACGGGAUCCCAGGAGCUUGCUCCUGGGUGAGAGUGGCGAACGGGUGAGUAAUGCGUGACCGACCUGCCCCAUACACCGGAAUAGCUCCUGGAAACGGGUGGUAAUGCCGGAUGCUCCAGUUGGAUGCAUGUCCUUCUGGGAAAGAUUCAUCGGUAUGGGAUGGGGUCGCGUCCUAUCAGCUUGAUGGCGGGGUAACGGCCCACCAUGGCUUCGACGGGUAGCCGGCCUGAGAGGGCGACCGGCCACAUUGGGACUGAGAUACGGCCCAGACUCCUACGGGAGGCAGCAGUGGGGAAUUUUGCGCAAUGGGGGCAACCCUGACGCAGCAACGCCGCGUGCGGGACGAAGGCCUUCGGGUUGUAAACCGCUUUCAGCAGGGAAGACAUAGACGGUACCUGCAGAAGAAGCUCCGGCUAACUACGUGCCAGCAGCCGCGGUAAUACGUAGGGGGCGAGCGUUAUCCGGAUUCAUUGGGCGUAAAGCGCGCGUAGGCGGCCGCCUAAGCGGAACCUCUAAUCCCGGGGCUCAACCUCGGGCCGGGUUCCGGACUGGGCGGCUCGAGUGCGGUAGAGGCAGGCGGAAUUCCCGGUGUAGCGGUGGAAUGCGCAGAUAUCGGGAAGAACACCGAUGGCGAAGGCAGCCUGCUGGGCCGCCACUGACGCUGAGGCGCGAAAGCUGGGGGAGCGAACAGGAUUAGAUACCCUGGUAGUCCCAGCCGUAAACGAUGGGCGCUAGGUGUGGGGGGACCAUCCCCCCGUGCCGCAGCCAACGCAUUAAGCGCCCCGCCUGGGGAGUACGGCCGCAAGGCUAAAACUCAAAGGAAUUGACGGGGGCCCGCACAAGCAGCGGAGCAUGUGGCUUAAUUCGAAGCAACGCGAAGAACCUUACCAGGGCUUGACAUGCGAGUGAAGCCGCGGAGACGCGGUGGCCGAGAGGAGCUCGCGCAGGUGGUGCAUGGCUGUCGUCAGCUCGUGUCGUGAGAUGUUGGGUUAAGUCCCGCAACGAGCGCAACCC